rnacentral:rRNA from 1 species
GGGGAAUAUUGGACAAUGGGGGCAACCCUGAUCCAGCCAUGCCGCGUGAGUGAAGAAGGCCUUCGGGUUGUAAAGCUCUUUCGGCCGGGAAAAAAUCGCAUGGGCUAAUACCCUGUGUGGAUGAUGGUACCGGAAUAAGAAGCACCGGCUAACUACGUGCCAGCAGCCGCGGUAAUACGUAGGGUGCGAGCGUUAAUCGGAAUUACUGGGCGUAAAGCGUGCGCAGGCGGUUUUGUAAGACAGGCGUGAAAUCCCCGGGCUCAACCUGGGAACUGCGCUUGUGACUGCAAGGCUAGAGUACGGCAGAGGGGGGUGGAAUUCCACGUGUAGCAGUGAAAUGCGUAGAGAUGUGGAGGAACACCAAUGGCGAAGGCAGCCCCCCGGGCCGAUACUGACGCUCAUGCACGAAAGCGUGGGGAGCAAAC